rnacentral:misc_RNA from 1 species
GAUGAAGAACGUAGCGAAAUGCGAUACGUAAUGUGAAUUGCAGAAUUCAGUGAAUCAUCAAAUCUUUGAACGCACAUUGCACUCCUUGGUAUUCCGAGGAGUAUGCCUGUUUCAGUAUCAUGAGCACUCUCACAUCUAACCUUUGGGUUAAAAUGUGGAAUUGGGAUGCGCCGGUUAUUAUAACGGCCCUCCUAAAAUUCAGUUCUUGGCUGCUUCCUACUACAGCAGUUUGGCCUAAUAGUUUUGAGUCUUCGAUUCAAAUCUUUGGCUAACAUUUGCUUCAGGAUGUCAGUCUUGAUAUACAGAAAUCUCAUUCAAACUUUGAUCUGAAAUCAGGUAGGGCUACCCGCUGAACUUAAGCAUAUCAAUAAGCGGAGGA